GAUGAAGAACGUAGUGAAAUGCGAUAAGUAAUGUGAAUUGCAGAAUUCAGUGAAUCAUCGAAUCUUUGAACGCACAUUGCGCCCGCCAGUAUUCUGGCGGGCAUGCCUGUUCGAGCGUCAUUACAACCCUCAGGCCCCCGGGCCUGGCGUUGGGGAUCGGCGGAGCCCCCCGUGGGCACACGCCGUCCCCCAAAUGCAGUGGCGGUCCCGCCGCAGCUUCCAUCGCGUAGUAGCUAACACCUCGCGACUGGAGAGCGGCGCGGCCACGCCGUAAAACACCCAACUCUUCUGAAGUUGACCUCGAAUCAGGUAGGAAUACCCGCUGAACUUAAGCAUAUCAAUAAGCGGAUGA
rnacentral:misc_RNA from 1 species